rnacentral:rRNA from 14 species
GAAGUCGGAAUCGCUAGUAAUCGUGGAUCAGCUACGCCACGGUGAAUACGUUCCCGGGCCUUGUACACACCGCCCGUCAAGUCACGAAAGUCGGUAACGCCCGAAGCCGGUGGCCCAACCCCUUGUGGGAGGGAGCUGUCGAAGGUGGGACUGGUGAUUGGGACUAAGUCGAAACAAGGUAGCCGUACCGGAAGGUGCGGCUGGAUCACCUCCUU